rnacentral:rRNA from 1 species
GGGACACGUGGUAUCCUGUCUGAAUAUGGGGGGACCAUCCUCCAAGGCUAAAUACUCCUGACUGACCGAUAGUGAACCAGUACCGUGAGGGAAAGGCGAAAAGAACCCCGGCGAGGGGAGUGAAAAAGAACCUGAAACCGUGUACGUACAAGCAGUGGGAGCACGCUUAGGCGUGUGACUGCGUACCUUUUGUAUAAUGGGUCAGCGACUUAUAUUCUGUAGCAAGGUUAACCGAAUAGGGGAGCCGAAGGGAAACCGAGUCUUAACUGGGCGUUAAGUUGCAGGGUAUAGACCCGAAACCCGGUGAUCUAGCCAUGGGCAGGUUGAAGGUUGGGUAACACUAACUGGAGGACCGAACCGACUAAUGUUGAAAAAUUAGCGGAUGACUUGUGGCUGGGGGUGAAAGGCCAAUCAAACCGGGAGAUAGCUGGUUCUCCCCGAAAGCUAUUUAGGUAGCGCCUCGUGAAUUCAUCUCCGGGGGUAGAGCACUGUUUCGGCAAGGGGGUCAUCCCGACUUACCAACCCGAUGCAAACUGCGAAUACCGGAGAAUGUUAUCACGGGAGACACACGGCGGGUGCUAACGUCCGUCGUGAAGAGGGAAACAACCCAGACCGCCAGCUAAGGUCCCAAAGUCAUGGUUAAGUGGGAAACGAUGUGGGAAGGCCCAGACAGCCAGGAUGUUGGCUUAGAAGCAGCCAUCAUUUAAAGAAAGCGUAAUAGCUCACUGGUCGAGUCGGCCUGCGCGGAAGAUGUAACGGGGCUAAACCAUGCACCGAAGCUGCGGCAGCGACGCUUAUGCGUUGUUGGGUAGGGGAGCGUUCUGUAAGCCUGUGAAGGUGUGCUGUGAGGCAUGCUGGAGGUAUCAGAAGUGCGAAUGCUGACAUAAGUAACGAUAAAGCGGGUGAAAAGCCCGCUCGCCGGAAGACCAAGGGUUCCUGUCCAACGUUAAUCGGGGCAGGGUGAGUCGACCCCUAAGGCGAGGCCGAAAGGCGUAGUCGAUGGGAAACAGGUUAAUAUUCCUGUACUUGGUGUUACUGCGAAGGGGGGACGGAGAAGGCUAUGUUGGCCGGGCGACGGUUGUCCCGGUUUAAGCGUGUAGGCUGGUUUUCCAGGCAAAUCCGGAAAAUCAAGGCUGAGGCGUGAUGACGAGGCACUACGGUGCUGAAGCAACAAAUGCCCUGCUUCCAGGAAAAGCCUCUAAGCAUCAGGUAACAUCAAAUCGUACCCCAAACCGACACAGGUGGUCAGGUAGAGAAUACCAAGGCGCUUGAGAGAACUCGGGUGAAGGAACUAGGCAAAAUGGUGCCGUAACUUCGGGAGAAGGCACGCUGAUAUGUAGGUGAAGUCCCUUGCGGAUGGAGCUGAAAUCAGUCGAAGAUACCAGCUGGCUGCAACUGUUUAUUAAAAACACAGCACUGUGCAAACACGAAAGUGGACGUAUACGGUGUGACGCCUGCCCGGUGCCGGAAGGUUAAUUGAUGGGGUCAGCGCAAGCGAAGCUCUUGAUCGAAGCCCCGGUAAACGGCGGCCGUAACUAUAACGGUCCUAAGGUAGCGAAAUUCCUUGUCGGGUAAGUUCCGACCUGCACGAAUGGCGUAAUGAUGGCCAGGCUGUCUCCACCCGAGACUCAGUGAAAUUGAACUCGCUGUGAAGAUGCAGUGUACCCGCGGCAAGACGGAAAGACCCCGUGAACCUUUACUAUAGCUUGACACUGAACAUUGAGCCUUGAUGUGUAGGAUAGGUGGGAGGCUUGGAAGUGUGGACGCCAGUCUGCAUGGAGCCGACCUUGAAAUACCACCCUUUAAUGUUUGAUGUUCUAACGUUGACCCGUAAUC